rnacentral:rRNA from 1 species
UGAAAGAAGAAACKUUCGGCCCACAUUGGACURRRACACGGCCAUUUCUUACCGGAAGCAGCAGUGAAUCGUACWCAUUGGGCGCAGUCUGAUKUCSGGAAMUCGCSUGGAGGAUGAAGCCUUCGGUCGUAACUCCUUUAUAGGGACGAUGAUGACGUACCUAUGAAUAAGCGACGCUAACUACGUGCCAGCAGCCGCGGUAUACGUAGGUCGCAAGCGUAUCCGGAACUAUUGGGCSUAAAGAAUGCGUAGGUGGUUUGAGAAGUGUCCGUUAAAUCUUCAGGCUCAACGUGAUUCUCGCGGACAAAACUCUCAAACUAGAGGAUAGCAGGGGCAAGCGGAAUUCCCGGUGUAGGAGUGAAAUCCGUUGAUAUCGGGAGGAACACCAAUGGCGAAGGCAGCUUGCUAGGUUAUCUCUGACACUGAGGCAUGAAAGCGUGGGGAGCGAACGGGAUUAGAUACCCCGGUAGUCCACGCCGUAAACGAUGCAUACUAGCUAUCAGAAGUAUCGACCCUUCUUGUAGCGAAGCUAACGCGUUAAGUAUGCCGCCUGGGAAGUACGGUCGCAAGACUAAAACUCAAAGGAAUUGACGGGGGAUCGCACAAGCGGUGGAACAUGAGGUUUAAUUCGACGAUAAGCGGAGAACCUUACCAGGGCUUGACAUCUAGAGAAUCCUCUGGAAACAGAGGAGUGCCGCAAGGAGCUCUAAGACAGGUGUUGCACGGUUGUCGUCAGCUCGUGCUGUGAAGUGUGCGGUUAAGUCCGUAAACGAGCGCAACCCUUACCAUGUGUUAGAUAUGUCACAUGGGACUGCCGGUCUUAAACCGGAGGAAGGUGGGGACGACGUCAAAUCAGCGUGGCCCUUACGCCCUGGGCUACACUCGUGUUACAAUGGCACAGACAAUGGGUCGCUAAGCCGCGAGGCGGAGCCAAUCCCAACAAAAUGUGCCCCAGUUCGGAUUGUAGUCUGAAACUCGACUACAUGAAGCCGGAAUCGCUAGUAACCGUGGAUCAGCUACGCCACGGUGAAUACGUUCUCGAUCCUUGUACACACCGCCCGUCAAGCCAGCCGAGUUGGCAACGCCAGAAGUAUGACUUUAGUCGUWCCAAGGUGGGGUCAGCGAGGAGGGCUAAGUCGUAACAAGGUAACCGU